CAAGCUUCCAUAAAUAGAGUCCCUCUGGAAGAACACUUCUGGCUUUUCGCAAGCAGAGCAAAAUGAUGGCCGGGAAAAUGACAAUUCUAGUGAUCAUGUUUCUGGUCCUAUUAACCAUUGAAGAACCCAGUAGUGGAGAGCAACUAGGCCGCCAAAAGUUUAUUGGUGGUGGUGCUUCACCUUUAUCUCCCGGACGAGGUGGGAAGGCUUUGGCUCCAUCUACAGGAACAGAUAGAGGCGAUGAUAAUUUGGCUCCAGUGCUACCACUCAGACAUGAUUGCAAGGAAACAAAGGCAUAUGGCCCGCCAUGUCGUGACGUUCAUCCAGUAAUCGUCUGUGAACUCUAUUGCACCGGGUUACACUUUAAUGGUGGCCGUUGUCGUGGCCCUAGCCCUAAUGAUUUUUGUUAUUGCUCUUCGUGUUGAGGGCAUUGCCCUGCGAAAAAGAAAAUAAAUAAAGUUUACCUGCACAUGUUUAGUUUGUA